AUUGAACGCUGGCGGCAGGCCUAACACAUGCAAGUCGAGCGGAUGAAGGGAGCUUGCUCCUGGAUUCAGCGGCGGACGGGUGAGUAAUGCCUAGGAAUCUGCCUGGUAGUGGGGGAUAACGUCCGGAAACGGGCGCUAAUACCGCAUACGUCCUGAGGGAGAAAGUGGGGGAUCUUCGGACCUCACGCUAUCAGAUGAGCCUAGGUCGGAUUAGCUAGUUGGUGGGGUAAAGGCCUACCAAGGCGACGAUCCGUAGCUGGUCUGAGAGGAUGAUCAGUCACACUGGAACUGAGACACGGUCCAGACUCCUACGGGAGGCAGCAGUGGGGAAUAUUGGACAAUGGUCGAAAGCCUGAUCCAGCCAUGCCGCGUGUGUGAAGAAGGUCUUCGGAUUGUAAAGCACUUUAAGUUGGGAGGAAGGGCAGUAAGUUAAUACCUUGCUGUUUUGACGGUACCAACAGAAUAAGCACCGGCUAACUUCGUG
rnacentral:rRNA from 1 species